GAUGAACGCUGGCGGCGUGCCUAAUACAUGCAAGUCGAGCGAACAGACGAUGAGCUUGCUCCUCUGACGUUAGCGGCGGACGGGUGAGUAACACGUGGAUAACCUACCUAUAAGACUGGGAUAACUUCGGGAAACCGGAGCUAAUACCGGAUAAUAUAUUGAACCGCAUGGUUCAAUAGUGAAUGACGGUUUUGCUGUCACUUAUAGAUGGAUCCGCGCCGCAUUAGCUAGUUGGUAAGGUAACGGCUUACCAAGGCAACGAUGCGUAGCCGACCUGAGAGGGUGAUCGGCCACACUGGAACUGAGACACGGUCCAGACUCCUACGGGAGGCAGCAGUAGGGAAUCUUCGGCAAUGGGCGAAAGCCUGACGGAGCAACGCCGCGUGAGUGAUGAAGGUCUUCGGAUCGUAAAACUCUGUUAUUAGGGAAGAACAAAUGUGUAAGUAACUAUGCACGUCUUGACGGUACCUAAUCAGAAAGCCACGGCUAACUACGUG
rnacentral:rRNA from 1 species